CCAGGUGGAGAAAAGUAUAUUACUUUGCUUCGGCAUCCAGCAGAAGAUAGGGAGCCCUCGACAGCCCAUCACAUCAAGGAGAGAACAUCUCCGAGACAACUUCACCUCCUCACCAAAAUAUGCAGGCCAGAUCCCCUCGUCUUUGGCUUCCUGUCAGACGCAACCAAGGAGACGCCACAUCAGGGAAUCAAAUGGCAGGGACAUACCUCCUCACCUCUGCCAUUGAAGAAUGCAAGCAAUGAUAGGUAGUGUGUCAACACAGGGGCGCUGGCUGUGUU